rnacentral:lncRNA from 1 species
GGGAGGUAAUAACAAACGUAAACGUCGUCUAUUGUUUCCCGUAAUUUAACGUUGUUUCAACGACGUCAUAACGGAAUCACCAUUGGAAUUGCUAUGGCCGUCUGGAAAGGGCGGGUUCUUUCAUCAAAGGAAAGGCACGGCAGGAAUCGGCAAAAAACUCAUACAGAAUAUUAACAGAAAUAGAAGUCAUCUUUAAAGAUAUCUUUGUCGUCUUGAUCUAUUAUAAAAGAACCGCCAUUAUCUUGAUCAUUCUAGACCAUACUCACUUAAGUUUCCGUUUUAUUCAAAUUAUCUUCAAUACAGUAGAAAACAACGAGAACAAAUGCGUAAUGAUUUAUUAUUGCAUUAGAAUGCAAAUUGUAAUUAAUUCUUUACCAAACUUAUCCGAGAUUUUGUCAUUCAGGAUAGAAAACUCAAAGUUUGGUUUUACUUAAGAAAGAUGAAAAAAAAACUGGUUUCUUGAGAAAAAUAAGAUACGGCGUAAACUAAC